rnacentral:rRNA from 1 species
GACGAACGCUGGCGGCGUGCCUAACACAUGCAAGUCGGGCGGGGGGAGUACUUCGGUACAAACCUAGCGGCGGACGGGUGAGUAACACGUGGGUAACCUGCCUCAAAGUGGGGGAUAGCCUUCCGAAAGGAAGAUUAAUACCGCAUAACCCAUAGCUUCUGCAUGGAAGCAAUGGUAAAGAUUUAUCGCUUUGAGAUGGACCCGCGGCGCAUUAGCUAGUUGGUGAGGUAACGGCUCACCAAGGCCACGAUGCGUAGCCGACCUGAGAGGGUGAUCGGCCACAUUGGAACUGAGACACGGUCCAGACUCCUACGGGAGGCAGCAGUGGGGAAUAUUGCACAAUGGGCGAAAGCCUGAUGCAGCAACGCCGCGUGAGUGAUGAAGGCCUUCGGGUUGUAAAGCUCUGUCUUUUGGGACGAUAAUGACGGUACCAAAGGAGGAAGCCACGGCUAACUACGUGCCAGCCGCCGCAGUAACAC